rnacentral:rRNA from 1 species
CCUCCGUUCUUCCGCCGUCUUUACUUUUCUUCCCUUUUUUUCCCCCUGCCCGCGCCCUGCCGCGUGAGUGAAGAAGGUCUUCGGAUCGUAAAGCUCUGUUGUAAGAGAAAAACGGGUAUCAUAGGGAAUGAUGAUAUCGUGAUGGUAUCUUACCAGAAAGCCACGGCUAACUACGUGCCAGCAGCCGCGGUAAUACGUAGGUGGCAAGCGUUAUCCGGAAUGAUUGGGCGUAAAGGGUGCGUAGGCGGCAAAAUAAGUCUGAAGUAAAAGGCGUUGGCUCAACCAACGUAAGCUUUGGAAACUGUUAAGCUAGCGUGCAGGAGAGGUUAGUGGAAUUCCAUGUGUAGCGGUAAAAUGCGUAGAUAUAUGGAGGAACACCAGUGGCGAAGGCGGCUAACUGGCCUGUAACGGACGCUGAGGCACGAAAGCGUGGGGAGCAAAUAGGAUUAGAUACCCUAGUAGUC